UAGGUACUCCCUUUGUCCCAUAUUAAAUGACUUUAUAUUACAUGUAUCUAGAUGCUUUUUAGGCACAGAUACAUCCAUAUUUGGACAAAUUUGAGUCACUUAAUGUGAGACGGAGGGAGUAUAAC
rnacentral:pre_miRNA from 1 species